UACGAAGGGGGCUAGCGUUGUUCGGAUUUACUGGGCGUAAAGCGCACGUAGGCGGAUCGUUAAGUCGGGGGUGAAGUCCUGGAGCUCAACUCCAGAACUGCCUUCGAUACUGGCGAUCUCGAGUCCGGAAGAGGUGAGUGGAACUCCUAGUGUAGAGGUGGAAUUCGUAGAUAUUAGGAAGAACACCAGUGGCGAAGGCGGCUCACUGGUCCGGUACUGACGCUGAGGUGCGAAAGCGUGGGGAGCAAACAGG
rnacentral:rRNA from 1 species